rnacentral:lncRNA from 1 species
CAAUGUUCAAGGCAGCAUUUUUUAAUAAUUUAUUAAUUAUAAUGAUAACAUAAUGUUCAUUUGGAAUAUCUAGUUGCACAGGAAAAAAAAACAAAAAAAUUACUAGGAAAUCCACUACCCAUAGAUAAUCACUAUUAAUAUUUUGCUAUUUUUAAUAUUUUAAUAUUUUGCUUUUUUAAAAUUUUGUUUAGUUUCGUUCUCAAAUAGGGCUAGUAAAACAUUUCAAUAAUACUGAAAAUAGGAGUUCCCAUCGUGGCUCAGCAGAAACGAACCUAAUAUCCAUGAGGAUGCAGAUUCGAUCCUUGUACUCACGCAGUGGGUUAAGGAUCUGGCAAAACCUUGAGCUGUGGUGUAGGUCACAGACAUAGCUCGGAUCUGGCACUGCUGCGGCAUAGGCCAGCCGAUACAGCUCCAGUUUGACCCUAGCCUGGGAACCUCCAUAUGCCACAGGUGUGGCCCUAAAAAGACAAAAUAAUAACAAUAAUAACCUACAAAACAAGUGGCAAAUGGAAGUUCCCAGGCUAGGGGUCAAAUCGGAGAGUAGCUUCUGGCCUACACCACAGCCACAGCAACACAGGAUCCGAGCCACACCUAUGACCUACACCACAGCUCAUGGCAACGCCGGAUCCCCGACCCACUGAGGGAGGCCAGGUGUUGAGCCUGCAUCCUCAUGGAUACUAGCUGGAUUUAUUUCUGUUGAGCCACAAUGGAUGAUCUCUAGAAAAUAAUCUUGGUAGGUCACAUUUACAUAAAAUGAACAGUUUUCUCCAAACUGCUAACAUAGAAGAUCAUUUUUAAAAACUGCUUAACUUAUUAGUUCAAAGAAUCUCUACUAGGUGGAGGCUUAUGAAUUUAUAGCCAUUAGACAACGAAUAGCUCAUAAAGGAAACGAUGCCUGUAAACUAUGUUGGUCACUCCAGUGUGUGCACCUCAGCUACCUUCACAGCAUCUAAGCAGGUGCUGCUGGACUUCAAGGACAGGGAGGACAGCUGAGCCACACAAACAGGAAGCCUGUUCUCCACAGGUGUCCCUGGAGUUGGUCAGCUGGGCAACCUCAGGAGGAGAGGAGAGGAUAGAGGGAGUACUUUUCAAUCAACUUCAAAGUAGAAAAUAGUUCUCAAAACAUCAAAGCCCUUCUCGGGUGUUGUUGAAAGAGGGAGAACAAUAGAUGGAAUCUGAGCAGGGAAGUGGCAUGACAGAACCAAGGAUAACAUGGGCUGGGAGAACAAUGUGAUUCUAAGAUCUUAAAUCUACUGCUGGUAGGAUUAGGAAGGAGAGACUUGGAGCAGUUGGAAAUACUACAGGCUAUGAUGAGGGCAGGAAGAGGAGAGAAUGAGAGACUCAGGGAUUUCUUCCAUAUUGUCCUUCCAUCUGUACCCCCAACUCUCAACGUCAGCUUUAGCGGGACCUUUACCAGCACCCACCUUGUAUGCUGUCUCCACCUGAACUGCUCCAAACUGUUAAGGGGAAUGUACUUGUUAUUUGAACUCCAUGGCUAUUGACAGGCUGCCCAAAUGAACAAAAAUAUUCUAUUUGGCCCACUUUACAAUAAAAUAGAACGAUGUUUCAAAAACAUUCUCUUUAAAUUAUCCUAGUGUUACAAAGACGAAAAAAAAGUCACUUCAGUUUUAACAUAUGAACAACAUUAAAAUGACAUAUGAAGAAUAUUAAAAUGCAUGUAUAAUAGUCACCAUUUGGAAAUGAUAGCAGGCAAAGAGAUAUAUGAUAAACAAUCCAAAAAUAUAGAGCAUUAAAUCAGGGGAAAAAAAAACCCAAAUCAAAUAGUAUCAGUGUUCUCAUAUUUCACCAUCAUCAGAAUUAUCUUAUUCUCUCUCAUACUUCUCGAAAAGAAAUGAGUCCUACCACGUAGCAAUUAGGAGCAUGACAAAGUACACAUUUUCAAUUAUUUUUGAGAAAUGACUUAAUAGGUAUUUUUUAAAGAGGCGCUAUUUGGCAAAAAUCCCAAUUGCAAUGAUUUUGAUUGGAAAGACUUCACGGGCUCCCACAGCUUAGGUGAGAGAAUUCAAUUCCAAGCCCCAAGCCAAAAUGCUUAUGAAUCUACACUCAUCAAAAAAGAUCAUUCAGCUCCUGUUAAGCCUUAACUUGUUUAAGGUUCAGCAUGACAAACAUUUCAUCUCAGUCUCCAGAGUCUCUGUUACUAAGGGAUAUGAAAGGAACGAAGACCACAGGUUUCUUGGGUUUUGACAGUAUGUACUUUGCACAUUGCCGCUGAUAAAAAGCUGUAUAACAGCUACUAUAGCAGCCCUUCAUUAUUCCUGAUGGGGUUCAGAGUAAGCUGCCCCCAAAGUGCCAUUUGGUAUAUAGAUUAUUUUGAAUGAAAGUUCCUAAAGGAAUAGCUGGUACAAGGAGAACACUGACUCUGCUCUGUCUUCUCGAAAGCAGGGAAGGAAUCUUCCCUGUGAAAGAUUGAGAGAGACAUCCUUAUCAUCAGAGAGAGAGAAUUAGAGCCCAGAGGUUGUAUAAACAAACCGGCUACUUCUAUACCAGUUUACCACCUUCUGCCCACACUUCUUUGUCUUGUCAGUUCUUCAUAAGUGCACGGCUUCUUUGUCUAAAAGGUACACGAGCUGCCCGAUCUGGUCACUUCUUGGACUCUCCUCUUUCAUGGAGCUCCAUGCAGAUUCAAAUUUAAAUUUGUGGGGUUUUUUCCUCCUGUUAAUAAUGUCUUGUGUCAAUUUAGCGAUUAGACCAGUCAAGGGAACCAGAGAGAAGUAAAAGUGUUCCUUUCCCACACUGCUCUCAUCAGUAAGGCUGUGGACUAAGCAGCCCACGUGUACCCAGCACUCCCACUCCAGGAAUCCUAACUCCGUGCUUGCAAACAGGGUAGGAAUUGUUACAGGCUUUGCCCCUCUACUCACACACAUACUUCUGUUUUCCGGACGUCUUCUUGCUUGUGUCUCCACAAAC